rnacentral:rRNA from 1 species
GAGUUUGAUCCUGGCUCAGAACGUACGCUGGCGGCACGCCUAACACAUGCAAGUCGAACGAAGUAGCAAUACUUAGUGGCAGACGGGUGAGUAACAUGUAGGUAUCUACCCUUUGGCCUGGAAUAACACGAGGAAACUUGUGCUAAUACCGGAUAAGUCUUUACGGAGAAAGCUUUAUGCACCAUUGGAUGAGCCUGCACUUGAUUAGUUUGUUGGUGGGGUAAUGGCCUACCAAGACUUUGAUCAAUAGCUGAUUUGAGAGGAUGAUCAGCCACAUUGGGACUGAGACACGGCCCAAACUCCUACGGGAGGCAGCAGUGGGGAAUCUUGCACAAUGGAGGAAACUCUGAUGCAGCGAUGCCGCGUGAGUGAAGAAGGCCCUUGGGUUGUAAAGCUCUUUCGUCGGGGAAGAAAAUGACUGUACCCGAAUAAGAAGGUCCGGCUAACUUCGUGCCAGCAGCCGCGGUAAUACGAAGGGACCUAGCGUAGUUCGGAAUUACUGGGCUUAAAGAGUUCGUAGGUGGUUGAAAAAGUUGGUGGUGAAAUCCCAGAGCUUAACUCUGGAACUGCCAUCAAAACUUUUCAGCUAGAGUUUGAUAGAGGAAAGCAGAAUUUCUAGUGUAGAGGUGAAAUUCGUAGAUAUUAGAAAGAAUACCAAUUGCGAAGGCAGCUUUCUGGAUCAUUACUGACACUGAGGAACGAAAGCAUGGGUAGCGAAGAGGAUUAGAUACCCUCGUAGUCCAUGCCGUAAACGAUGUGUGUUAGACGUUGGAAAUUUAUUUUUCAGUGUCGCAGCGAAAGCGAUAAACACACCGCCUGGGGAGUACGACCGCAAGGUUAAAACUCAAAUGAAUUGACGGGGACCCGCACAAGUAGUGGAGCAUGUGGUUUAAUUCGAAGAUACGCGCAGAACCUUACCAACACUUGACAUGUUCGUCGCGACUUUAAGAGAUUAAAGUUUUCGGUUCGGCCGGACGAAACACAGGUGCUGCAUGGCUGUCGUCAGCUCGUGUCGUGAGAUGUUGGGUUAAGUCCCGCAACGAGCGCAACCCUCACUUUUAGUUGCCAUCAUUUAGUUGGGCACUCUGAAAGAACUGCCAGUGAUAAGCUGGAGGAAGGUGGGGAUGACGUCAAGUCCUCAUGGCCCUUACGUGUUGGGCUACACACGUGCUACAAUGGUAUUUACAACAGGAAGCAAGACGGCGACGUUAAGCAAAUCCUUAAAAAAUACCUCAGUUCGGAUUGCACUCUGCAACUCGAGUGCAUGAAGCUGGAAUUACUAGUAAUCGUGGAUCAGCGUGCCACGGUGAAUGCGUUCCCGGGUCUUGUACACACCGCCCGUCACACCAUGGGAGUUGGUUCUACCUUAAGGCAAGGCUUAAAACCCUUGACCACGGUAUAGUCAGCGANCUGGGGUGAAGUCGUAACAAGGUAACC